rnacentral:rRNA from 1 species
GCACAACGCGAAGAACCUUACCUAGGCUUGACAUGCAUCUCUAAGCGCGUGAAAGCGCGUGACCCUUCGGGGGGAUUUGCACAGGUGCUGCAUGGCCGUCGUCAGCUCGUGUCGUGAGAUGUUGGGUUAAGUCCCGCAACGAGCGCAACCCUUGUGACUAGUUGCCAGCACGUUAUGGUGGGAACUCUAGUCAGACUGCCCAGAUCAACUGGGAGGAAGGUGGGGACGACGUCAGGUCAGUAUGGCCCUUACGCCUAGGGCUGCACACGUACUACAAUGCCCAGCACAAUGAGAACCGAGACCGCGAGGUGGAGGAAUCUAAAAAACUGGGCCCAGUUCGGAUUGGAGGCUGCAACUCGCCUCCAUGAAGUUGGAAUCGCUAGUAAUGGCGCAUCAUCUACGGCGCCGUGAAUACGUUCCCGGGUCUUGUACACACCG